UACAUGGGGUGCAAACGUUGCUCGGAAUUAUUGGGCGUAAAGCGCACGUAGGCGGUUCGUUAAGUCGGAUGUGAAAGCCCUCGGCUCAACUGAGGAAGUGCACCCGAAACUGGCGAGCUUGAGUACGAAAGAGGAUCGCGGAAUUCCCGGUGUAGAGGUGAAAUGCGCAGAUAUCGGGAGGAACACCGGUGGCGAAGGCGGGUCUCUGGACAGUUCCUGACGCUGAGGCACGAAGGCCAGGGGAGCAAACGGG
rnacentral:rRNA from 1 species